rnacentral:rRNA from 1 species
UACGUAGGGUGCGAGCGUUAAUCGGAAUUACUGGGCGUAAAGCGUGCGCAGGCGGCGCGUUAAGACAGGUGUGAAAGCCCCGAGCUUAACUUGGGAAUUGCGCUUGUGACUGGCGUGCUGGAGUGUGGCAGAGGGAGGUGGAAUUCCACGUGUAGCAGUGAAAUGCGUAGAGAUGUGGAGGAACACCGAUGGCGAAGGCAGCCUCCUGGGCCAGCACUGACGCUGAGGAGCGAAAGCCAGGGGAGCAAACGGG